GACAGAGGUGCCGAGCGUUAGGCGGAAUCACUGGGCUUAAAGCGUGUGUAGGCGGACCGUUAAGUACCUUGUGAAAUCCCCCGGCUCAACCGGGGAACGGCUGGGUAUACUGGCGGUCUUGAGCCAUCCAGGGGCAGUCGGAACAAAUGGUGGAGCGGUGAAAUGCGUAGAUAUCAUUUGGAACGCCAAUGGUGAAAACAGGUAACUGGGAGUGUGCUGACGCUGAGACACGAAAGCCAGGGGAGCGAACGGG
rnacentral:rRNA from 1 species